UCCCAGCAGGACUGAGCCUCAAUUGCCCACAGCAGGAAGCAGCUCAAUCAUGUACCCUUUAAUUGGCUCUCUCUGGAUCUGGGAUGCACUCCUGCUCCCUGGGAUCACUCCUCAAAAUAAACCAUCCGCUUGCUGUGGCAACCGGAAAGGCAAAGCCCCUGCUUUAAAGGAACGAGAGAUUUAAAUCUAGAGCUAGAGAGCGGCUCUAGACAACGGACAGCUGAAAAGAACAAACACAAUAAUAACAUCAUUUUGAUAGUUAGCAGGGCCUUGGAAAAAUUAAACGUGGUCAAGUGGUAGAGCAUGACGGGUAAAAUUGCAUUUAGUGGUUCACAGGUCUCAACAUACAACAGAACCACUUGGAGGGCUUGAAAACACAGAGGCACCUGGGCCCCACACCAGAUUUCCUUAAUUAGCGGACCUGAGUGGGGGCCUCAGAAGCUACUUGUUAGUCUCAGGUGAUGCCGAUGCUGGUGGUCUGGGGACUACGAAUUGAAAACCACUAGAUUAUUUAGAGCUGAAGCAUGAAAAGGAGCCAAGAGUACAAGGAACACAGAGAAGAGAAUCCAGGCAAAGACAUGAUAAACAGAACAAAGAUUUUAGAAGGAGAAGGAUUCGACUGGCUCAGCCUUAAGUGCAGCGAGGAAUACCUCAUCAUCUGAUGCUCAGCAAAAUUACUCAUGGGGAGAAAUACCAGUUCUACAAAAGCACCAAGGAGAAAAAGAGUGUCAUUGAACUUGUUCCUCUCUUCCUGUGUUUUUUAUAAACCAAGAUUUGGAACGAAUGCCUGGAUGAGCUGUGGGUUAAAAGGUUUCAGCAAUCACAUUCCAGAGGAGGAAAAUAAUGAAGUUAUGGGUCAAAUGUGUGGACAAUCUAUCAUCUUACCAAAGAUGCGAAGUGAACAUCUCAAAGAUAGCUGAUUUUUGCAAAUCUCUUCUACGUUGUCAAAACAAGGUUAUUCUGUUGGCAUUUCUAUCUAAGAGAUAAUUGGAAGAAAAUCACCAAGAAGACGACUACCAUAGCAUGGUGUGCCAAGAGGUGCCAUGUCCGCACCCGGGAUCCGAACUGAUGAACCCCAGGCCGCCGAGAAGUGAAAUGUGCUAACUUAACCGCUGCACCACCUGGCCGGCCCCUGCCAAGUCCCUUUUGCCAUGUAAAGUAACAUAUACACAGAUUUCUUGGAUUUGGAUAUGGUCAUGAUUCCAAAAACAAAUUGGAAGAAGUUGGGUGGCAUCUUCUGAUAUUAGACCUACUGGCCCACUUGAAAUAUUUUUAUGGCCCUGUAACUCUGAGGCCCAUGCUUAAAAGACUUUGUAAAAUAUUUCCCAAAGAGACGACAGUCAACAUGCAUUGAAUUAACUGAACCAGCUAACAGGUUCCACUGAGGAGGCCAAAAGUGGAAUCCCAAUGUUGUUUUGGAUGAUUAUCCUGAUUACCAAAGGGAAAUAGAUUUUGCUACACCAUGGAGGCAUGGAGGAAUAUGGAAGAAAAUAAUCAUCUGAGGAAAAAGCUGACGAAACAUGCUCACCCAUCCCAGACAGAUCACCAAGAGUUCGUUUCCUUCAGAAAUUACAAUUGAGUUAUCAACCUAAGAAAGCUUGUGGGGGGGGGGAAAGUCAUACUGCUGAUUGACUAGUCAAUGGAGGAAGAAAGUUCUAAGUAACAAAUGUCACUAAAAUUCCAUGACGAGUUGCAGAAAUGCAGAGUAUACCACCCACUUCCCUUUCCUUUUAUCAGAUCUUAUACCACAUAGUUUAAUUUUUCUUUUAAUUAUUUCUUCCACAUUAUUUUAUAUAUAUUUUACUAUACUUAUAAUUUAUGGUAUAUAUUAAAUAAUAUUGAGGCAGAAUUAUUAUUUUUUAAUUAAUUAAUUUGUUUUCGGAUGUACAUCAUAAUAUAUUUCAAAUUCUGUGUACAUUACAUCAUGUUCACCACCCAAAAACUAAUUAUAGUUCAUCCCUUCACAUGUGAGCCUAAUCACCCCUUUUUCCCUCCCCCCACUUCCCCUAUGGUAGCCACCAAUCCAAUCUCCAAUGCUAAGUGUUUGUUUGUCAUUGUUUUUAUCUUCUACUUAUGAAUGAGAUCAUAUGGUAUUUACUUUCUCCCUCUGACUUAUUUCACUCAGCAUAAUACCCUCAAGGUCCAUCCAUGUUGUGACAAAUGGCCGGAUUUCAUCAUUUCUUAUGGCUGCGUAGUAGUCCAUCAUGUAUAAAUACCACAUCUUCUUUAUCCAUUCGCCCCUUGAUGGGCACCUAGGUUGCUUCCAUGUCUUGGCUAUUGUGUAUAAUGCUACAAUGAACAUAGGGGUGUAUGUAUCUUUAUGCCUUUGCGUUUUCAAGUUCUUUGGAUAAAUACCCAGCAGUGGGAUAGCUGGAUCAUAUGGUAGAUCUAUUCUUAAUUUUCUGAGGAUACUCCAUACUGCUUUUCAUAGUGGCUGCACCAGUUUGCACUCCCACCAGCAGUGAACAAGGGUUUCCUUCUCUCCGCAUCCUCUCCAACAUUUGUUGUUUCCUGUCUUGUUAAUUAUAGCCAUUCUGACCUGAGUGAGGUGAUACCUCAUUGUAGUUUUGAUUUGCAAACCAUAUAUACCUGACAGGGGGUUAAUAUCCAAAAUAUACAAAGAACUCAUACAGCUCAGCAACAAAAACACCACCAAUCCAGUUAAAAAAUGGGCAAAAGAUCUGAACAGAGAUUUCUCCAAAGAAGAUAUACGGAUGGCCAACAGGCAUGUGAAAAGAUGCUCAACGUCAUUAGCUAUCAGGGAAAUGAGGCAGAAUUAUAAUAAAUAUAAAGAAAUCUGAGCUUGAAACUAAAUUCAGUGUUUGAACAUUGGAUUGUAUCCUUACAGAAUCAUUGGGGUGAGGUUUUGGUUGUACAAGAAGUAGUUUAAUUAGGUUUAGAGGAGAUAUUUUUAUAUAAAUAUAGCAAGAAGGACAUAUUCACUGGGGAGGUCAUUGUGUGGAUUCUAAUGUAUGUUUUUCAGGCCAUCAGAUCUUACCUAUUUCAAUGGAAAGCAGAGGAAUUCCUCCAACCACUGAAGAAAAUUGUGUGGUUGUGGAGGAGUUGGAAGACAGGUGCUCUCUUUGUUUAGCUGAAGUUGGGGGACACAUGAUCCAAGCAAAUGAAAUAAUACAUCCCUACCCAAGGAUGUGUACCAUAAGGAAGUGAAGGAAAAGCUGAGUGUCAUUUACAGAUUAUGACAGCAGGUAGCUGAGAGAAGACAGGCACAGUUGAGAGUGUCUAGGGGGCAAAGUGCGGCCACAUAGUGGCGAACAUGUCAGGGGGGACACCAGUGACAUUACCCUAAUUGGCCAAUAUCUGUGACCGCAUGUUCAUGCCUACUCCUGCUUCUACAGUGUUUAUGACCAUUCAAAAAUAUACCCGAGGAAAUUCUAAUAAACUCUUUUUAUGCUAUAGUAUUUAAAAAGUAGCUUGAGUAAUUUGCAACUAUAAAAUCUAUCUUGAACACAUAACAUUAUAUAUUGGAUAGUGAAUGCUUGGCAAGAAUCCCAGUGCUAUUUUUUUUGCACAUUGGAAAUACAGAGAGAUGAAGUCAGAAUUUAACCUCUACGGAAGGAUGAGGAAGGAGGAAAAAAACAUAAACGAAGUAGGAGCUCAAUUAUAGUGGCAAGUUCCUGGGUGUCAGGAAAAGACCCAAGACGGACUUUAAAUAGGAGAGGAAUAAAGGAAGUUGAUUUUGGCUCCAAGCAAGUGCUGCCAGAUAUUAGAAAAGUUUUGAGGGCUUCAGUGCAAAAGUGAACAGUGAUGCAGCGAAUGCAAUCUGCGUUGCCACAGUGGUGCUAUGUUACAGGGUUUGCCCUACUAAUGCUUUAAAGGAAGGAGUUCAUAAAACUGUUCAUCCAAAUGGGAGCAUUUUUAAGAAUGAGAGGUGGCUUUAUUAAUAAUUAUACCUUUGCAAUAACAUAAAUUAGGACUGUCCCUGAAAACCAGAAUACAAAUUCAACUCAGUUAUUCAGCUCAAUAAACCAGGAGAAUUAUUUACUGAGUGCCCUGUUCUGUCUAAAUAAUCACAGGAUUAGCAAUGGUAAAUAAUAGAUUAUUCACCUUUCCUGGAAAAAUGUAAUUUCUAAUAGAGAGAACAAGGAAGUGAACAGCAAACUAAUAGGAAAGGCAGAAAUUUAUUAAAGUUAUAAGAUAAUUGAAAUUUUUCUUAAAAAGUAUGGAAGAAUACAGAAAGGAGAUAGCAUGUUUGCAUGGUAAGGAGAAGGAUUGCAGGAGUGGCUUACUGACAAGGUGGAUAGGUGAAAGCAUCAUUUCAGCUGGAUUUUGAAAGAGGUUGAUGAAUAUUUUUAUUAUUUUCCAGAUAUGAAAAUCUUUUCACAUGUUCCCUUCUUAAAUACAGCUACAUGAAAAUCCAUGUAGGAAAUCCACCAGGAUGUGCUUUCAUAUAAUUUCUCACUUUUUAAUCUCACAGCAUGCUGUUUUCGCGGUCUACAUUUCCUAAAUAAUUUCAGAAUGAGUAUAAAAUUCCUAACCAAGCAUCAUCUCAUGAAAUCAUUCUGAAUGCCCCUUCUAACACUUAUUGGUUUAAUACAGCUUCCUUUGUACUGCCGUAGUACAUUUUACAAGUCUUUUUCCACGUACACGUAAUGAUUAGGGUAGAAGGUUUGACAUACACACGCACACAAACACACACAAACUUGAUAGUGGCUUCCAAAUAGAUUGUGAAAGAAAGUGAUGAUUGUUUACAUGGAUUAUGAAAGAGAAUAAGCCAAAGUAUUCAUAUCAAUCAAAAUGCAUUAAUAAUGUAUUAGUAGCAAUCAUGUCAACAUUUGUUAAUGUAUGUAUACAGAGGAAAUAUUUUAAAGUUUAACAUCUAAGAAUAAAUUGGUGCUCUGUUAUGAAUCCCCAAAGAAAAUUAGGUGUAGAACCAAUGUCGUUUAUUUAUUAAGGUACACAUGUUUAUAUUAACUGCUAUGAGCCAUCCAAUGUUCACAAUGUUGGGGGUAUAUAAGUGAACAAAAAGAUAAAAAAAUAAAAUCCUAUAUUUUUCAGAGUUUAUAUUCUUUUGUAGGAGAUAGAUAUUAAACCAUAAAUGUGAUAAAUUCUAUUGACAUGACAAGGACCCUGGAUAAGGAGAAACAAUAAUAGAGGGAAGCAAGGAGGAUUGCGAGAGUUGUUAGAAAGAAUCGCUUCAUCAUCUCCCUCAUCCGUCCUAAGGACAAGCCUCUUUGAGAAGUUGACAUGUGAGUAAAGACUUGAGAGAACCAGAAGUCCGAUGGGAAGAACAAUUUCUAGAAGAGAAAAUAGCCAGUGCAGAACUCUGGGCCAGGAGCCCAUCUGCGAUUUUGAGGGAGGGAAGGAGGCCAGUGAGCUGGAGUAGAGUAGCAGGAGAUAAGGUCAGAGAAUUAAAGAAGGAAAAAAAGUGUAAGGCCUUAUAGACCAUUAAAAGGAUGGUGGCUUUGACCCUAAAUAAAAUGGGAAACCAUUGGAAGUUACUGAGCAAGAAACAUGAUCCAACUGAGUCUGUAAGCUUCGUUCUGGCUGCUUCAGUGAGGACAGACUGCAGGGCUGAAAGGGUGGAAGAAGGGAGACUUGUCAGGAGCUGUUCCCAGUUAGGGCAGCUAUGCUGGCAAUAUCCAGUACUUAUGUCCAUGCUGUUUGCUCGUUUGCAGCCUGGGCUCAGAGCUUUGUGACUGAGUUCUGCCGUGACAGAAAGCCCUGACUCUCUCCUAUUCUCCCCUCCUCUCAUGCCCUCAGUCUCUUUCAGCUUCUCUUUCCCUUUAGUCUUACUCUCUUUGCUUCCACUCCUUACUGCCCCUCAGUGUGAUAUUCUCUCCUUCCUCCUAAUCCUUUCCCACUUUUCCCUUCCCUUCUUUCUUUCCUGUUGCAGGCAUUUAAAAGGAGAUCUAGCUAAAAGCUAUAAAAUCAAGUUUCAUAGAGCCAAUAUUCUCUGCUUGCUUUCUUGACUAUGUCUAUUUCUUGUUUGUAUGGGAGUCAAUGAAAUUAUCUGCUACAUUUAAAUUAGAGAAUUUACAUUUAUUUAAAAACAAUAAAAUGCAAUAUAUAGCUAUUGGCUUGGUUGAUUAAGGGCAAUAAACCAUAAUGUAUUAAUCUUUAUGUCUCUUCUACCUAACACUGUGCUGACACACUGUAGUUUCUCAUUAACAUUGAUGAAUAAAAGAAAUGAGUAUUUUAUCUAAUUAUGCCUAUCUUUUUUCAAACAGUACAUUAAGGGCUUGUUAUCUACUUAAGGCAAUCCUGCUGUUCUCAAUAUUAUGAUCAUUACCUAGAGAUAUUAAGCCACAAGGUUACAUUUAAAUUAUGAA
ensembl:lncRNA